rnacentral:rRNA from 1 species
UUCUGGCUCAGGAUGAACGCUAGCGGCAGGCUUAACACAUGCAAGUCGAGGGGCAGCGUGGAGUAGCAAUACUCUGACGGCGACCGGCGAAAGGGUGAGUAACGCGUGAGCAACAUGCCCGGUAGUGGAGAAUAGUCGAUGGAAACGUCGCGUAAUACUCCGUAACAUAGGAGACCGCAUGAUCUUCUAUUAAUAGAUUUAUCGCUACCGGAUUGGCUCGCGUACCAUUAGCUAGUUGGCGGGGUAACGGCCCACCAAGGCGACGAUGGUUAGGGGUUCUGAGAGGAAGGUCCCCCACAUUGGAACUGAGACACGGUCCAGACUCCUACGGGAGGCAGCAGUGAGGAAUAUUGGACAAUGGCCGAGAGGCUGAUCCAGCCAUGCCGCGUGCCGGGAAGACGGCCCUAUGGGUUGUAAACCGCUUUUGUUGGGGAGCAAUAAGGUCCACGCGUGGAUUGAUGAGAGUACCCAGCGAAUAAGCAUCGGCUAACUCCGUGCCAGCAGCCGC